UACGUAGGGGGCCAGCGUUGUCCGGAAUCAUUGGGCGUAAAGCGCGCGUAGGCGGCCAGAUAAGUCCGUUGUGAAAGUCAAAGGCUCAACCUUUGAAUGCCGAUGGAUACUGCCGGGCUCGAGUCCGGAAGAGGCGAGUGGAAUUCCUGGUGUAGCGGUGGAAUGCGCAGAUAUCAGGAGGAACACCAAUAGCGAAGGCAGCUCGCUGGGACGGUACUGACGCUAAGGCGCGAAAGCGUGGGGAGCGAACAGG
rnacentral:rRNA from 1 species